AGUGAACGCUGGCGGUAGGCCUAACACAUGCAAGUCGAACGCCAGCUCAGUAAGUGCUUGCUCUUACGGGUGGCGUGUCGCGUACGGGUGAGACAUUCAUCGCUAUCUACUUUUUCGUGGGUCUUUAUGUACGAAAACUUACGCUAAUACCUCUUACUUCCUACGGUUGAAAUCAUUGGAUCUUCUGCUCUUGUGCGAUUGAAUGGUCCGAUUUCGGAUUAGUUAGUUGGCCGGGUAAGGGUCCACCAAUGCGACGAUCCGUAGCUGGUCUGAGAGGAUGAUCAGCCACACUGGAACUGAGACAAGGAGCAGACUCGUAAGGGAGGCAGGAGUGGGGAAUAUUGGACAAUGGGCGGAAGCGUGAUCCAGCCAAACCGCGUGGGUGAAGAAGGCCUACGGGUUGUAAAGGACUUAUGUUGGGAAAGAAAAGAAGCAGGUUAAUAACCGGCUGUUAUGACGGUACACAAAGAAUAAGCACCGGCUAACUUCGUG
rnacentral:rRNA from 1 species